rnacentral:lncRNA from 13 species
AAAAUUCUGACAUUUAGAUUCUUACUGACUUAAAUCAUUUUAAAUAUUAAAUGUUUAAUAUAACUUUCUAGUUGUUUACAGACUAUUCAAUGUCUGAUAUUGUUUUAUAUGUUCAAGGGAAAAAUAAAAUUCUUUGUACGCUUGCUUGAGUUUGUUUUUUGUUGUUGUUGUUGUUUUGCUUUUGGGAUGAGAUAAUGAACACAUUACGGCAAACCGAAUGCAUAUGGUUUCACAUCCGAUGAGCGCAGCUCACAGAGGAUUUCCUUAAAAAGGCAUUUGUGUAUUUUUCAUAAGCACAUUGGGGAUCUUUCACAAGCCCUUAAAGAAAUCAGGAAUAAAACGCUGCAGCUUCCCAGGGAGAGAGCAACUUUGACCCUAAAAGUUAAAGUUACAUCCCAGACUUGGAAAACAGGAAAUUUCAGAUGGUUUUUGGCAAAACACAUAGCUCCACUCCUUCCCUUGGUGUGCUAAGUUUCCCCAAGUCUGUGUGCUUCUUAUAGCGCAGGAAUUCUCCAAAGGCCAACGUUUCAGUUCCAGAAAAAAACAUAGUAUCAACAGCAACAACAGAACAACUUUACCAAGAGCAAGCAAGUCACAUUAUCUUCGUGGCUCCUGGAAAACUGCAAAUUGAAAGCCGUGCCGCGGGGCAGGACAUCUCCCAGACGGCUGGGGAAUACCCUCCCCAGUGGUGGCGGGAGGCGCUGUUGUCCAGGAAAGGAAGCUGCCUGUUUGUGAAUGAGCGCACUGUGUGGACGUUCAGAGGAAAACACCCAACAACAACCUCAACAAACACAGCCACCACAGGCCGAGGAGUGGGCGUGCCAGAAAUUCCAUCUGCAUGAAGUGUGCUGGGAAAAGCCUGGCGAGGAAUCCUGGUUGGUGAAAAACAGAUUCGGUGCUUGUUGUUCUGCUCCGUGAGUAAGUCACCAAAGAAAUGUGGGCGUGUGCCAUUGGAAAGAACAUGGACUUCCACAAAAUGUAUGAAUCACUUUUGUUAAUUGUCAGAGAAGAUAUGUAUUAAGUGAUUUACUUAGCUUCCGUAAUUAAAACAAAAUGAAAACAAGCAGCCUCUGCCUCUCAAUACUUUUAAAACUGAGGAUGGCAAAAUAAUGCAAACCAAAGCCACCAAUGCAUCUUGGCACAGUCAGCUGAGGACGGCAUGUUUUCUGAAACCUUAAAAAGUAUCUUGGUGUCAUGAGCCUUAGAGCGACUGGAAAUGCGGCACCCCCAGCUCCGCUCCACCUUCUAUUUUUCAUUAAGCCUCAGAAAGGAAUCCAGGGAGCCAGGGUUGUGGAAGCUAGAAUUUAACUGAUGAUCCAGGGCUGCGUGUCCCCCACGGUAGGUCACCAUGAAUCAGAGCGUUUUGUGGUUGGCCUAUUCAAACAGGCAAGCACUUGGUGGUUUGUCUUUUGUUUGAUUUGUUACCAGAUCACACAAGAUAUUUUUCAACAGAUUUUCAGAAAGCAUCUUGGGAAAUCCACAAAAAUGGGCUGAGUCAUCUAACCAGAAACAGUCCACAGCACAUGUGACUCUCAACGCCCUGCUUUUCUUUCUUUGGGGAGAAAGUUCUCAGCCUGAAUUAGAUGAAAGCAUGGGGUGGGGGCGGGUAGAGAUUGAUUUGGGGUUUGCAGGGACAUAAAGAGAAAUCAUGAGUCCAAGACUCCGAAAACUUUUAAGAUAUCAGGAAAGUGCUCGUGAUAUAACCUGAU